rnacentral:lncRNA from 1 species
CCUUGACAUCAUCUCACUGACCCAUGCAGCCAUGCCUAAACUUGGACCAGAACUCAUGUAACCACCGGGUAAUGUCAAACCUGAACUCUGAACUCUCAGAAAUAUAUAAGAACAAGCUAAAACACAGGGAUACAUGAAUCCUCUCAGAAAUCAGAGCAUCGACCACGUUGUUCCCAAUCGCCGUACCGAGUCGGUUCAGGACCUCUAGGCCCUCCAAUCUCACCAGUAUCUUCGUUCACAAACUCUCCACCUCCACCACCUUCUCCUUCCUCUUCUUCUUCCUUCUGCAUCUGCAGAUUCUGUUGAAGAUUCUGAUCUGGCUUCACGUCCCGGUUCAGAUCCUGAUUCGGAGAUGGAGCUUGCGGCGGAGGAGGUGUACCGGAGCUUAGAAACCGUGACACUGGCUCGAGGAAUCUAGAGGAGACGGAUCGGCUUGGAGCGAUCAAACGUACGAUGUUGUUCGUCGCCAUUGUUAGAUCAGAUGUGUCGGCCAAAUCAAGAAAGAGAUCCGACCUUCACGGUUUGUGAUAGUAUAGGGUUCGAUAGUCAUUUAGGUUGGGCCAUAAUUGGAUAAUAAGCCCAGUAGUAUCUAGGCCCAAUCAUUUACAUGUUUAUAAAUAAAUUAAGAGAAUUAGAGAGUAAA